rnacentral:rRNA from 1 species
UACGGAGGGUGCAAGCGUUAUCCGGAUUCACUGGGUUUAAAGGGUGCGUAGGUGGGCUAGUAAGUCCGUGGUGAAAUCCCGAGCUUAACUCGGGAACUGCCGUGGAUACUAUUAGUCUUGAAUAUCGUGGAGGUAAGCGGAAUAUGUCAUGUAGCGGUGAAAUGCUUAGAUAUGACAUAGAAUACCUAUUGCGAAGGCAGCUUACUACACAGAUAUUGACGCUCAUGCACGAAAGCGUGGGGAUCAAACAGG